UUUUGAUUGUUUGGUCACACCACACUACAACUCAAACAUUCUGAGCUGACCCAGUGGGGACAUGCAAACAUUUUCCAUAAGAGCCUUGUGGUCAGUGAUAUACAGGUUCAGAAUUCUGGGAUCUAUUAUUAACAAGCCAUGAGAAGUCAGAAAUCCUUUCAAGCUCUUGUACUCUGCUUCUUUGACCAUCACAAGAGAAUUCAACUUUCUGUUUAACUUAGAAAGGCUUGGGAUAAAGGGCUCAAGCACCUCUUACUGCCUCCUCACUCUGGAACCAAAUGCCUUACUGUAAGUGGCAUCUAGAUCUUGCCAGUGACUUUCCUGUACAGGGCCUAAACUCAAUCUCUGGUUUUCUCAGCAUUUAAGUGACAGGAUCACAGAAUGUGAAUUUUGAACAGAUCUGAAAAGUUAUUAAGUUCAACUCCACAGAGGUUCCUAGGAGAAUGUUAACAGUCCAGACCUUUUUCACUACAUCAACCACGGAUGAUUGGCAUAUAAAAUCCUACUUAACCUUUACAUAACUGCAAUACCAGGAAACAAAUAUGUCAAUAAAAGGAAACAUCAUUCAAUUUUUCUGAGAAUGCAUUCUUCCAUCAUUCCUGAAGUAGAGAUGAGGGAAAGCACAGAUCAUUCCUAAACAGUCAAUUCUAGAGCCAGUCCUUCAGUUCAAGAAUAACUCAACAGCCUAGAGAGAAGAAAAUAAGAAGCUAUAGUGAACAAAAGAAGAAAAAUGAAAAGGUGACCACCAGGAGAAUGAAGUAUAUUGGAGAAUAAAUGUCCCACCGUUUCCUGAUUUCUUGUUGAUGGCCUGGGCUACACCAACA
rnacentral:lncRNA from 1 species